rnacentral:piRNA from 1 species
UAAUGGGGCGAAUGCAUAGCUGGA